ACAUUCCAAGAAAGGGGCUUAGACCAAAAACCUCAAACACACAUCUAGAACACUUAGCCACUGAAGCAGAUAGUCAAUUAUAUAUAUCGCACACACAAACGUUAAGAAACCCAAAACGUGAAAGAAAACUCUUGUUUUCUUUUUCCCCUUUUUUCUCAUAUAAAAAAUAAAAAAUAUAAAUAAGCAAAACAAAUAAAAAAAGUCUAACCUUUUAAAACUAGAACAAAGCUAAAUCAAAAUAAUUCCCUCAAAGCACACUUGAGGACUCAAACCCUG
rnacentral:lncRNA from 1 species